AGAGUUUGAUCCUGGCUCAGAACGAACGCUGGCGGCGUGGAUAAGACAUGCAAGUCGGACGAGAUUUUUCGUUGUAGCAAUACGAUGGAAAGUCUAGUGGCGAACGGGUGCUUAACACGUGGGCAACCUGCCAAGAAGUGGAGGACAGCUCGCCGAAAGGCGGAUUAAUACCGCAUGUGAUUAGAGAGGACAUCCUUUCGAAAUCAAAGCUGGGGCAACCUAGCGCUUCUUGUGGGGCCCGCGGCCUAUCAGCUAGUUGGUGAGGUAACGGCCCACCAAGGCUUUGACGGGUAGCUGGUCUGAGAGGACGACCAGCCACACUGGGACUGAGACGCGGCCCAGACACCUACGGGUGGCAGCAGUCGAGAAUUUUUGACAAUGGGGGAAACCCUGAUCGAGCGACGCCGCGUGGAGGAUGAAGGUCUUCGGAUUGUAAACUCCUGUCAUUGGGGAACAAUGCGUGACGGUUAACUGCCGUUGCGUUGAUAGUACUCGAAGAGGAAGAGACGGCUAACUCUGUGCCAGCAGCCGCGGUAAUACAGAGGUCUCAAGCGUUGUUCGGAUUCAUUGGGCGUAAAGGGUGCGUAGGCGGCGCGGUAAGUCGGGUGUGAAAUCUUGGAGCUUAACUCCGAAACUGCAUUCGAUACUGCCGUGCUUGAGGACUGGAGAGGAGACUGGAAUUUACGGUGUAGCGGUGAAAUGCGUAGAUAUCGUAAGGAAGACCAGUGGCGAAGGCGGGUCUCUGGACAGUUCCUGACGCUGAGGCACGAAGGCCAGGGGAGCAAACGGGAUUAGAUACCCCGGUAGUCCUGGCAGUAAACGGUGCACGUUUGGUGUGGGAGGAUUCGACCCCUUCUGCGCCGGAGCUAACGCGUUAAACGUGCCGCCUGGGGAGUACGGUCGCAAGAUUAAAACUCAAAGAAAUUGACGGGGGCCCGCACAAGCGGUGGAGUAUGUGGCUCAAUUCGAUGCAACGCGAAGAACCUUACCAGGCCUUGACAUGCAUUGC
rnacentral:rRNA from 1 species